CCUACGGGAGGCAGCAGUAGGGAAUAUUGCUCAAUGGGGGAAAACCUGAAGCAGCAACGCCGCGUGGAGGAUGAAGGUUUUAGGAUUGUAAACUCCUUUUUUGAGAGAAGAUAAUGACGGUAUCUCACGAAUAAGCACCGUCUAACCCCGUGCCAGAAGCCGGGGCAACACGGAGGGUGCAAGCGUUACUCGGAAUCACUGGGCGUAAAGAGUGCCCAGGCGGGCUUGUAAGUCAGAUGUGAAAUCCUUUAGGCUAACCACAGAAGUGCAUUUGAAACUAGGAGUCUAGAGUGGGGGAGAAGUACGUGGAAUGCUUGGUGUAGCGGUAAAAUCCAUAGAUAUCGAGAAGAA
rnacentral:rRNA from 1 species